CCGCGAGCAGACCGCUAGUCAUGCAGCACAUGCAGCUUUCGUCUUGACAACCACUGGACAACGUAGUCCGUGAACCGGUGUCCCGUAGCGACUUCGUCGUGACUGCCUCAGAGAACGUCUAGUACUGCCUUUGCUUGAUUGACGAACGUCGAGGGCGAAACAGAGCGAAGGUGCUGCAAUGAACCACUGGACAACGUAGUCCGUGAACCGGUGUCCCGUAGCGACUUCGUCGUGACUGCCUCAGAGAACGUCUAGUACUGCCUUUGCUUGAUUGACGGACGUCGAGGGCGAAACAGAGCGAAGGUGCUGCAAUGAACCACUGGACAACGUAGUCCGUGAACCGGUGUCCCGUAGCGACUUCGUCGUGACUGCCUCAGAGAACGUCUAGUACUGCCUUUGCUUGAUUGACGGACGUCGAGGGCGAAACAGAGCGAAGGUGCUGCAAUGCGCUGCCUUGCCACGACAAGUGAUGCAAGCCAGAAAGACCAUUACGUGAAGAAAUGACGGGCGAACAUAUACGUGGAGAACGAACGAAGUGAUUGUGCGAGCAGGCCAAGCCAGAAAGUUGCAAGGAAACUAUUAGUGCCACAAAACCAGCCACCGCCGCCUCUAGCACCAUCCGGUGCCCGUGCUGCAAGUACAGUCAUAACCCCUGUGGAGGGGAUCCGACCCCAUGGAGAACGCAGGGGCUGACGAGCUGCGUUUAAGUAUGCUUUGCUGGUGCUUUUAGCUAUUUCAAAAGACACAAGAAGUGGCCCGACAUCUAUUGGCCAUAGGCUGCUCUUCCUCAUCUCAAUGAGCAUAGCUCUUGGAAUGCUGGCUCCGCCAAAAAACUAGCCAUAAAGUUCAAAGUAAAGUUUUUAAACCAUG